GAAAUCAAUCACACAGUCACACAUAGGAUAAGCACUCAGAUCUCUGAAAGAAAGACAUACCAAGCCACAUCUUCUUUCUUGAUGCUGUUGAACAUGCUGCAUGGUAAAAAAUCGGUCAUACCAUAAUGCUUUGGGAGGAUAACCAGCGAGAAUGCUUGCAAGGCAUUAUGAAUUUACCAUAAACACCAACCAUCACCAAGGGGGAAGCUAUGAUCAACGAGGAAGAAGCCAUAAUCACCAAGAGAGAAGCCAUGAUCACUGAGAGAGAAGCCAUGAUCACUGAAUGAGAAACCAUGAACACUCAGUGAGAAACCAUGAUCACUGAGUGAGAAACCAUGAAUUAUAAUGAGAAGACGGAUAAGCAAGGGAGAUCCACGCGUCGUCUGUCGUCCAAAUUCGGCUCGUCCAUGUUUGUGUUACGACAUUGUCAUGUAAGUGCAGUUCUGAUUGGCAGUGACAUCUGCGGCACUGCCAACAGCUGCACAGCUGACUGUGUUUUGAUUUUACCAUUGUUUACAAUCAGAUCAUAAAUAGAGCUAGAAUCAAGGGGAAGGGGUUUGAUUGGACUAGAGAAGAAGUAGAGUUGGAUUUUUGGGCAUAGAAAUAGACAGGUUAGAUUUUAGAGAGAUAAUAAGUGAGUUCAAUUAGAGAGAUGGCGAGUAGGUUCGAUCUGGGAAUAGAGAGACGAUAAUUCAAUACUGUUGGAAUGUUGUGUAUUAUUUAGCUCAUUAAAGUCUUUAUUUGAUUACUAAGAAA